rnacentral:rRNA from 1 species
CUACGGGAGGCUCCAGUGGGGAAUAUUGCACAAUGGAGGAAACUCUGAUGCAGCAACGCCGCGUGGAGGAUGACACUUUUCGGAGCGUAAACUCCUUUUAUAUAGGAAGAAGGUGACGGUACUAUAUGAAUAAGCGCCGGCUAACUCCGUGCCAGCAGCCGCGGUAAUACGGAGGGCGCAAGCGUUACUCGGAAUCACUGGGCGUAAAGAGCGUGUAGGCGGAUUAAAAAGUCAGAAGUGAAAUCCUAUAGCUUAACUAUAGAACUGCUUCUGAAACUCUUAAUCUAGAAUAUGGGAGAGGUAGAUGGAAUUUCUGGUGUAGGGGUAAAAUCCGUAGAGAUCAGAAGGAAUACCGAUUGCGAAGGCGAUCUACUAGAACAUUAUUGACGCUGAGACGCGAAAGCGUGGGGAGCAAACAGGAUUAGAUACCCGUGUAAGUC